UUUCUUCCGUUGCAACGCACGGGCUCUUUUGCUAGUAAGAUGUAAAGAUAAAUACUCUAGUUGAGAGAAAUAAUAUCUUCAAUAAGGGGUUUGGGGUUACAUCAUUCAUCAACCAUCAUUUGCUCUCUCACCUCAUUACAAGGACAUAAGAAUUUGUACUGAUCAAAUGUGCCUGUACAGAUCUCUCUCUGUUUACUUGUACAUGGCCAUUACAAUAUCUUCAGUCAACUAAGAUACUGUAGACAAGUACUCUAACAUCUAGCAUAUGGCUUAUUCUAACAAAUACUCCAAGAAACUGUAAGCAGCUAGGAGUAACAAGCAUCUGGAAGUUCUUUCAGGAUCAAGCAGCUAGACUUACCAAAUGCUUUGUUUCCUCCAGGUCCAUGUAGAUUCACAGCAAAUUCAGAAGUUAACAACAAUGUUAUUGUAUUUUAUCAGAACUGUACAAAUUAAUGACACCAAUUUCAGAAAUUGACAGCAAAUGGCACUUAAAAAAAUUAACAACAAAUUCCAUAACAAUGAGCUAAACCUGACAAGCCAUAACAUUGAGUUAAACCUACAAUGAGUUAACAUUCAGUUAAACCUGACAAGCCAACAGAGUUGCAGUAUUUAUCAGGAUGGGAACCCACCCUACUGUGAACUUGGCAGCAAUAUUCUUGUGUGUUUUCUCUCUGUUGCGCCAGCAACAGAAACUGAUUGGUCGCUCUCUGUUGUGUAAUUUACCAAAUCAUAUUUCUUUUGCUUAUUGCCAUUGAGUCUUUAAUAUCAUCAUAUAUCAGAGUAAGGCGCACAUAUUAGAUUUUUCCAAUAUGUCUGUCAGUGCGCUUUGGUCCAUAUAAUACUCCUCUUAAAUCAACAUAAGUAAGACAAUACCUGACUCAUACGAGCAGCUGCAUAUCAACACGGCAGGUCAAGACAGCAGCUUGACAACGUUUUAGUGAUCAUGACAAGUUCACAAAUGACAAACCACAACACAACGAGCAUAGUAAGUUCCUGUUUCUCCGACUUCUCUCACAAGUCAUAAAAGACACAACCGCACACAUAAGACAUAAGAAAGUUCCAGAGUCGCACACAUCAUAAAGGAGACACGUUCAUGAAACUUAAAUACUUGAUAAAAAUGAUAACUUGACAGCAUGAUGCCAUCAACUGAUCUCCUCAAUCACCAGCCAUUCUGCCACAGUCCUCAACAGCUUAGGGCCAAGGCAACGAGCUCGCCUUCCAGCGAGCCUACGUGAGCGCCUUAUUAGACCUUCUUGAGCCAACCCACUUUAUCAAACACUGGAGCAGGCCAGUUGGACCAAUGCUGAUUGGGAUCCAAGGGCGGCAAAGAGAGCCCUCAAGGUGUCAUCUUGCAUCUUCCGGAGUCCAGGCAUCGGUCCACUGAGCCAACGGUCAUUGGAUGACCGAUUCAUAGCAGUAAGACUGGGUGUAAUCCACACGGGAGAAGGCCAGUUGGACCAAAGCUGAGGAGACACAAGGUCCACCUCGCUAUUAUUGCCCAAGCCAACUACUCCAAUAUCACGAGGACUACUCUUACGGUUUUUAUUGUACUCAUCAUCGUCAGUAAAGUAGGCAUGAUUUCCCUUGAGAGCAGGGUAAUCUUUGGCACUCAGACAAAGUGGAUUGUUGUGUCCAAGAAACAGCACAUGGUCAGGCAAGCAAUCAAUUUCCACAAGCCUCUCUGUGCAAUCAUCAACUGUGUGUAAUUUGAUUUCCGUAGUAUGCGGAACAUAUAUUUCAGGGUCACCAUCUUCAUCAGGAUCCUCAAACUCUUUAAACCUUGAAACAAGCAGCAGACCACCCCAUGGGGCCUGAACAAUGUAUACGGCAUCGGGAUAAAAAUCCUCGUCGACUCCUCUAAUAAUUUUCAUUGUAACAGCAGGACCACUAAGAUCGAAGGCAUGGAUUUCUCCCUUUAUAACCACUGCGUACAACAACCCAUCCUUGUAGGUGCAGUCCUGAUAGUGAUGGUGUGGUGGCAGCAAGGUCCACUUAUCAUCCCCUACUCUUGCAAACGAGAGGUGAUUGUAUGGCUCGUGGAUUAGCGCAACGAUGUAGCUUCCUGUGGAUGUAUCAUGAAACACAAACGCCUUGAUCUGGAGCUGUUCCCGCAGCUCACAACCAGCGAGGAUCGAUGGCGUGAAGAAAGCUCGUCUUGCAGAGUGACUUGGGUAUUCAUACUUCUGGACAGCACCCAAGUCAUCAAAGAUGGGCUUCACGUACUCCAUGGUGGUCACCGAAGGGAGAGCAAUCUGUUGACCAGUGAUAGGAUUGACGAGGUGCAUUUCAGAUCUAUCAUCGGACGGUGCCGGAGGGGAAUGGGACUCAUCUAUACAUUUUUUUUUUGAGGAAUGGGACUCAUCUAUACAUACCAGGCCAUGGGCAGCGAGCUGAUCGUACCGUCGGGCCGGGCUCGGGCCUGGACAUUGAGCCCGACAGGCAUACCGGCCCGGGCUCGGGCCUGCGAAAAACAUGAUUUUAGUCGUAGUCGGACCGGGCCGACCGGGCCAUGUCAAGCUUGUUCAGGCUUGGGCUCAAUCUAGUAGGCCCGAAGGUCGGGCCGGGCCGGACUCAAGCCUGGGUUUUCAGCAUUGACUUUUUUCAGCUCGGCCCAGCUCGACAUAUGCCUAGGUAUAUCACUCAGCUAAUCUUUGUAUCUUUGUUAUUUUAAAAAAUCUCUAUUCUUUAUUAGGACAAUAAAACUAAGCCUGAGAGUAUCUCUAGCAGAUCCCGUAAACCGGGUUAUUCAGCAAAACAACCAUCGGGUUUACCGGACGAAGGCUAUUUUGCCGUCCCGAACAGAUCCAGUACAUUUGACCAUCCUAGAUAUUUUUUUGUGGGAUUAAUCCCAACCCAAUUCCGCCAUAUCUACAAACUACCCGACUUGCCCUUGUUUUUGCCGGAUCCCCUUUUCCCUUGGCACGAACCAACUUCCGGUUCCUUCCGUUCCCGCCUCUCAUGCCGCCGUCGCCUCCAACCUCACCAUCCCGCCUCACAGCGCCAAAAACCGACUGUAUGGAAUAUCUGCAGCCGCUGGGUGCCCCAUAUCAUGCGCCGCCGCCACCUCCAAUGUCGCUGCUCCGUCCGCCCACACCUUUCAUGUCGGCGCCGCCCCAACUCCUUCCCCCGCCGCCAUGAAGAGGAAGCGGCGGGGGAACCAUCUCGUCCAAGGGGGCGCAGCCGGCGCGACACCACCCUCUUUCGGCGCCGCUCCGGUUCCUCCCGUCAAGGCCGCAGGCGGGAGGAAGAAGACCGCCUCCACCGACCCCGUCGGUGCACGGGCAAAGCCCCAGAGGAAGAAAGCAACUGCGUCAAGAGGUCGGCCUCCUCCUCCGCCUCUGGCGGGCCACGGCCUCCCCAUUCAUGCCAACUCUACAGACGUCACACCUACCACGUGUUCGAUGAAACGACCGGGAGGUAAAAAAUCUUCAUUUGCUCCGGUUAUCUUUCCUUCACCCGUUGGAACACUUGUUUGAGCUUUGCCCAUCAAAUUUUGUAGACAAAGUGUGACAUCCACAUAUACCGAGAUGUUGGCCAAGUGUGCGACAGAUUUGAGUUGCCCCUUAAUGAUUUUGAUGCGCCUCAUGUGGAGGUCGAGGCGGAGGUGGAUCAAGUGAAUGACGGUGGUGAUGAAGUGCAAGUGAUCGACGAGGCCGACUAUGAUGCUAGGGUGGGGAGGACCGACAACUACACAGAGAGGAAGUAUGUGUGCUUGAUUCAAGCAUGGGAGAGUGUCUCACUUGACGCCGUGGUCGACAAGAUCAAAGCUAUAAAAAUUAUUGGCAAAGGAUCAAGGACAAAUACCACCAAAUCAUGUCGUUCCCUUCCGACCGGAUCUUGAAGUCACUUCAAGGUUGUUGGGACAUCAUCAACAAAACUUGUGGCCGUUGGAGUGGGUGCUUGGAGCAAGUGCAGAAUGCACCUCAAAGUGACGCCAUUAUUGAUGAUUAUGCGAGUAUUUCUUCAUCUUGUUGCCUUUGGUUAAUGACCCACAAGUAUAGGGGAUCAAUUGUAGUCCUUCCAAUAAGUAAAAGUGCCGAACCCAACGAGGAGCGAAAGGAAAUGACAAGCGGUUUUCAACAAGGUAUUCUCUACAAGUGUUGUAAGUAACAGUGAUAGAUAGUUUUGUAGCAAGAUAAUUCCUAACAAGUAACAAGUAGCAGUAGUAAUAAAGGUGCAGUAAUGUGGCCCAAUCUUUUUUAUAACAAAGGACAAGCCAGAAUGCUCUCUUAUAAUAAGCAAAGAGUUCUGGAGGACACGUGGGAGUUGUCAUCUAGUCAUGUUCAUCAUGUUUAGUUGAUUCGUGUUCGUUACUCUGAUAAUUUGAUAUGUGGGUGGAUGAGGGAGUCCUGGAUUAAGGGGUCCUCGGGCGGACGAAUUACUCGUUAUAGGCCGAACUGGUGGGCCGUGAAGAUCGCCACAGAAGAUUAUCCCUCGUAUCCGGAUAGGACUCCUAUAUGUGUAGAAUGGCAAGUUUAAAGUCCGGAUGUAAUGUUUCCUUCCUCUGCAAGAUGGUUAUGUACAACCCUAGGUCCCUCCAGUGCAUAUAUAAACUGGAGGGUUUAGUCCGUAGGGACAAUCACAAUUACCAUAGGCUAGACUUCUAGAGUUUAGCCUUAUCGAUCUCGAGGUAGAUCAACUCUUGUAAUCCUCAUAUUCAUCAAGAUCAAUCUAGCAGGAAGUAGGGUAUUACCUCCAUUAAGAGGGCCCGGACUUGGGCAAACAUUGUGUCCUUGUCUCCCCUUGUUACCAUCAAUCCUCAGAUACAUAGUUCGGGACCCCCUACCCGACAUCCGCCGGUUUUGACACCGACAUUGGUGCUUUCAUUGAGAGUUCCGCUGUGUCGUCGACAGAAGGAUUGAUGGCUCGCUUCGUCAUCAGCGACAGCGCCACCCCCAGGGAGAUCUUCCUUCCCGGUCAGCUUUUCGUGUUUGGCGGCUUCGUGCUACACGUCAACUCGGAUGGCCACCUUGAGCAGGUUGAUAGUUAUGCCCUUGGUCAUCAGAUCAAGUUUGGAAGUCUGAAUUACGUUGCCGACACCCAACGAGAUUUGAUCGUCGAAGGAUUCGCACCCUCGGCUGUCGCUCCCUGCCUACACGGUGAAGACAUCUUAGAUCUAUCACCAGAUCCCGUCCAGGGGUCAACAUCCGUGUCCGCUCUGGCCCUAGAUCCGGAGCAGAUCACUUCGUCCGAAGACGGGUGGAUAAACCCCGUCGGACUCUCCCCCUCCAUGGAACUUUUAGCCGGAGGCUCAACGACGAUUAUGCCGCUCACAAACCCAGGAUCGAAUGGGACUCUCCUCGCCGCUGGAAAGCCGAACUCAUUUCCAAUUACGAGCUCCGAACUCUUGGGAUUCACACUCUCCAGGCUCGAUCAAGUGGUCACCACUGAGCCUGGCUCCGCAGACCCCUAAACUCCUAUCCAGCUCUCGCUCUUAAACGAGGCGCUGGACUUACUGCAAUCUCUCGCCAUUACGGAGGAUUCGCUGCCGAACUGUGCCCAGUUAAAAUUGGGGGCUAAGAUUAGGGAAUUUUGCUUCCCACCCACCACCCACUUGGUAGCCACGGUCGAAGACUUAAUCGACGUACUAGACUAUGCUUCCAAAGACUAUGAUGGUAUGGACCAUGACGUCGAAGCUGAUCUAGGUCAAAACCCGCCCGUCACCGGGCGAUGGACGGCCACUUCUACCUAUGACUUAUACAUGGUGGACACAUCCCAGGAGAAGGACGGCGAUGGCGACAAAGAUCCAGAAGAGGAUAAGCCUGUCAAUGAACCUCCUAAGCACCGGCGUCAGCGGCGCCGCUCACGAUCGCGUCGAGAAAGGGACAGUAAUACCGGCACCGGAGACAAUGAGGCUCUGGAGGAUGCCGAAGACCCCGUAGAGCCAGCGUUGGAGCAGGACGAGCGGGAGGAUGGCCAACGCAGUCCCGAACAACUCACCGAUCACAAUGAUUCUGAAGACAGUAACUACCUACCUGUCUCCGAAGAGGUUGUCAGCCUGGGAGACGAGGAAUUCAUCGUCCCAGAGGAACCCCUCGAACAAGAAUGCUUUCAAUGACAGCUUAUUGCCACAGCAAGGAGCCUGAAAGAGCAGCAGCAGCGGCUUAAAGCCGAGCAGGAUACGCUCAACAACAUAUGAAAUGAAGUGCUAGACGCUAAAGAAAGAUACGGCCGUGAGUGCCAAACAAAGAGCUAUCCCAAGCGCAAGCUGCUACCACAAUUCGACGACGAGGCCCUUGCGCCAAUUCCGUCGAAGCAUGAUUGGGCCGAUCAACCGGAUCGACCACCUCGUGGACGGGACAAAGUGGCUGGUAAUGCCGUAUAUCAACCCGCACCUCCUAAUCGUAAAGGAAAGGAUACAACGGCUCAGGGCCAUAAGUACGACUUACGUAGGGACCUAAAUAAAAAAGCCGGUCAGGCUAGCUAGAUCAAUCUACGGAUCAAGAGAACAUGCUCCUACACGGGAUGGUAACUAUCAAGCCAAGCACACUGGAUACAAUCAAGUUCAGAGUCAAGACCGAACACAGAUGCCGUGUGAACUACGUCGCGAUGCCACACAAUACAGGGGCGCUGCACACCCUCUGUGCUUUACCGAUGAGGUGAUGGAUCACCAAUUUCCAGAAGGGUUUAAUCCCGUAAACAUCGAAACAUAUGAUGGAACGACAGAUCCCGCUGUAUGGAUUGAAGACUUUAUUCUUCACAUCCAUAUGGCUCGUGGAGAUGACCUCUAUGCCAUCAAAUACUUACCUUUAAAGCUGAAAGGGCCAGCUCGGCACUGGUUGAACAGCCUCCCAGAGAACUCCAUUGGAAGCUGGGAAGAUUUAGAGGAUGCUUUCCGGGCUAACUUUCAGCGGACUCAUGUCCGGCCACCGGAUGCUGAUGAUUUAAGUCACAUAAUCCAGCAACUCGGGGAGUCAUCCCGCAAGCUUUGGAAUCGGUAGCAUACAUUCCUCCCUCAUAAUUAUUUUCAGUAGCAUCAUGAAUGAAUUCAACAAUAUAACCAACACCUAAAGCAUUCUUUUCAUGAUCUACAAGCAUAGAAAUUUUAUUACUCUCCACAUAAGCAAAAUUCUUCUCAUGAACAAUAGUGGGAGCAAACUCAACAAAAUAACUAUCAUGUGAUUGAGAAUUAAGAUCAAGAUGACAAGUUUCAUGGUUAUCAUUAUUCUUUAAAGCAUACGUAUCAUCAGAAUAAUCAUCAUAGAUAGGAGGCAUGCUUUCAUCAUAGUAAAUUUGCUCAUCAAAGCUUGGGGGACAAAAAAUAUCAUCUUCAUCAAACAUAGCUUCCCCCAAGCUUGUGGCUUUGCAUAUCAUUAGCAUCAUGGAUAUUCGAGGAAUUCAUACUAACAACAUUGCAAUCAUGCUCAUCAUUCAAAUAUUUAGUGUCAAAUAUUUUAAUGCAUUCUUCUUCUAACACUUUGGCACAAUUUUCCUUUCCAUCAUACUCACGAAAUAUAUUAAAAAGAUGAAGCGUAUGAGACAAACUAAAUUCUAUUUUUUGUAGUUUUCUUUUAUAAACUAAACUAGUGCUAAAACAAGAAACAAAAAGAUCCGAUUGCAAGAUCUAAAGAUAUACCUUCAAGCACUCACCUCCCCGGCAACGGCGCCAGAAAAGAGCUUGAUGUCUACUAUGCAACCUUCUUCUUGUAGACGUUGUUGGGCCUCCAAGUGCAGAGGUUUGUAGGACAGUAGCAAAUUUCCCUCAAGUGGAUGACCUAAGGUUUAUCAAUCCGUGGGAGGCGUAGGAUGAAGAUGGUCUCUCUCAAGCAACCCUGCAACCAAAUAACAAAGAGUCUCUUGUGUCCCCAACACACCCAAUACAAUGGUAAAUUGUAUAGGUGCACUAGUUCGGCGAAGAGAUGGUGAUACAAGUGCAAUAUGGAUGGUAGAUAUGGGUUUUUGUAAACUGAAAAUAUAAAAACAGCAAGGUAGCAAGUGGUAAACGUGAGCAUAAAAGGUGUUGCAAUGAUAGGAAACAAGGCCUAGGGUUCAUACUUUCACUAGUGCAAGUUCUCUCAACAAUAAUAACAUAAUUGGAUCAUAUAACUAUCCCUCAACAUGCAACAAAGAGUCACUCCAAAGUCACUAAUAGCGGAGAACAAACGAAGAGAUUAUGGUAGGGUACGAAACCACCUCAAAGUUAUUCUUUCCAAUCAAUCCAUUGGGCUAUUCCUAUAAGUGUCACAAACAGCCCUAGAGUUCGUACUAGAAUAACACCUUAAGACACAAAUCAACCAAAACCCUAAUGUCACCUAGAUACUCCAUUGUCACCUCAAGGAUCCGUGGGUAUUAUUAUACGAUAUGCAUCACACAAUCUCAGAUUCAUCUAUUCAACCAACACAUAGAACCUCAAAGAGUGCCCCAGAGUUUCUACCGGAGAAUCACGACGAAAACGUGUGCCAACCCCUAUGCAUAGGUUCCCAAUGUCACGAAACCCGCAAGUUGAUCACCAAAACAUACAUCAAGUGGAUCAAUAGAAUAACCCAUUGUCACCACGGUUAUCCCAUGCAAGACAUACAUCAAGUGUUCUCAAAUCUUUAAAGACUCAGUCCGAUAACAUAACUUCAAAAGGGAAACUCAAUCCAUUACAAGAGAGUAGAGGGGGAGAAGAAACAUAAGAUCCAACUAUAAUAGCAAAGCCCGCAAUACAUCAAGAUCGUGCCAAAUCAAGAACACGAGAGAGAGAGAGAGAUCAAACACAUAGCUACUAGUACAUACCCUCAGCCCCGAGGGUGAACUACUCCCUACUCGUCAUGGAGAGCACCGGGAUGAUGAAGAUGGUCACCUGUGAGGGAUCCCCCCUCCGGCAGGGUGCCGGAACAGGGUCCCGAGAGGUUUUUGGUGGCUACAGAGGCUUGCGGCGGCGGAACUCCCGAUCUAAUCUCUGUUCUGGAAGUUUUAGGAUACGUAGGUAUAUAUGGGUGCAGGGAGUACGUCGGUGGAGCUACGGGGGCCCCACGAGGCAGGGGGGCGCGCCCCUACCCUCAUGAGCACCUCCCUCAUCUCCUGACGUAAGGUCCAAGUCUAUCCGGUAGGUUUCCUUCCAAAAAUAACUUCUCUAGUUGAUUUCAUUCCGUUUUGACUCCGUUUGAUAUUCCUUUUCCUCGAAACACUGAAAUAUGCAUAAAACAGCAAACCUGGGCUGGGCCUCCUAUUAAUAGGUUAGUCCCAAAAAUAAUAUAAAAGUGGAUAAUAAAGCCCAAUAUUUCCCAAGAUAGUAGAUAAUAUAGCAUGGAGCAAUAAAAAAUUAUAGAUACGUUGGAGACGUAUCACGACCCUGCCGGUAGGAAGCAAGACGGCGAGAGCGAGGAAGCGGCUAUAGCUUAGGAAGCAAGCAAGGAAGGAGGAAACAAAGGAAAUGUGACUUGUGGUCGGGAGAAAAGGGGGUGGGGAAGGGGAGGGGGGCGGGGGUAGAUAUUUUGGCGGUAGGCCAAAAUUUUGGAGAUGUGGAGGGAAACUUUGUGUGCGGUGCCGCCGGACCAUUCACUUUGAAUGAUUGUGUGCAUCGCAAACAAUUCUUCGGCUUUACGUGCAUGGGAUGAGUUUGAUAAUUCAAAUUUUGGUGGAAAUUUCGCCGGGUACGUCAUUUGUGGCACCCCGGGUUAGAGCAACCGGUUUACCCUGCAUUGCCAGCCCAGAGAUCGAGUCUUCUGGCAAUACACAACAACAUGGUACAGAAAUAACCACUUUAUUGAUACUAGCGGGAUACAUAGGUCUGAUAUUACAUCGAGAUGCGAGGCCAAGCGGCACACACGAUGCUGCUGGACAGUAUGUACAUUAUUUAAUGAACAUGGUUGGGGCCUCGAUCACACGAAACUACACGGCAGCGGAAGAACGACGUAGCGGGACUCCAUAGCACAGGGACACCGACGUGGACACGGCCUAGACACGAGGUGCGCUCCGAUGCGAAUCGACUUGCCUGAAAGCUGGCAUAACACGCCAGGUCAGUGCAUGGAAUGUACUUGCAAUCUCACAACAAACAUAAGCACGAUGAUAGACAAUAUCAUGAUAAUUAAGCAAGUUAAAUUAAUGCAAGAAAUACUAUAGAUGCAAUGCAGCCAAACAGUGCACCGAGUCACGCGGACUCGCUUACCAGACGGUUACCUCGUAACCAAACAGUGACCACACCGGGGUCACACCUGAAACCAAAAACCCAUGAACACCUCUAGUGUUCAAGGUUCGCCACGAAACAAUGCAUCACAACAAUCACUUAGUUUGCAAGAUUAAUUAUAAAAGUUGAUCCAUGGUGUGACUUACUCCCGAGUCUUGCCCAUAAUCGAGGGUGCGGCUAUCGAUAGAUUAAAUACACUCUGCAAAGGUAGUGCACUUUACCCACACUACGGAGUACCUGGCCUCGCUUUCCCAUUCGGGUGGACCAAAAUAUUCCGACGAAACCCUCCCUUUGUCAUGCACUCUCCCCGACCACUGCUACCUCUUGAGCACUGCGUUGGUUUUCCCUUGAAGAGGAAAGGGUGAUGCAGCAAAGUAGCGUAAGUAUUUCCCUCAGUUUUUGAGAACCAAGGUAUCAAUCCAGUAGGAGGCUAUGCGCGAGUCCCUCGCACCUGCACAAUACAAAUAAAUCCUCACAACCAACGCGAUAAGGGGUUGUCAAUCCCUUCACGGUCACUUACGAGAGUGAGAUCUGAUAGGAUAAUAUUUUUGGUAUUUUUAUGAUAAAGAUGCAAAGUAAAAUAAAAGCAAAGUAAAAAGCAAAGGAAAUAAAUAAGUGUUGGAAGAUUAAUAUGAUGAAGAUAGACCCGGGGGCCAUAGGUUUCACUAGUGGCUUCUCUCAAAAGCAUAAGUAUUUUAUGGUGGGUGAACGAAUUACUGUUGAGCAAUUGACAGAAUUGAGAAUAGUUAUGAGAAUAUCUAGGUAUGAUCAUGUAUAUAGGCAUCACGUCCGAGACAAGUAGACCGACUUCUGCCUGCAUCUACUACUAUUACUCCACUCAUCGACCAUUAUCCAGCAUGCAUCUAGAGUAUUAAGUUCAUGAAAAUAGAGUAACACCUUAAGCAAGAUGACAUGAUGUAGAAGGAUAAAUUCAUGCAAUAUGAUAAAAACCCCAUCUUGUUAUCCUCGAUGGCAACAAUACAAUACGUGCCUUGCUGCCCCUACUGUCACUGGGAAAGGACACCGCAAGAUUGAACCCAAAGCUAAGCACUUCUCCCAUUGCAAGAAAGAUCAAUCUAGUAGGCCAAACCAAACUGAUAAUUCGAAGAGACUUGCAAAGAUAACCAAUCAUACAUAAAAGNNNNNNNNNNNNNNNNNNNNNNNNNNNNNNNNNNNNNNNNNNNNNNNNNNNNNNNNNNNNNNNNNNNNNNNNNNNNNNNNNNNNNNNNNNNNNNNNNNNNNNNNNNNNNNNNNNNNNNNNNNNNNNNNNNNNNNNNNNNNNNNNNNNNNNNNNNNNNNNNNNNNNNNNNNNNNNNNNNNNNNNNNNNNNNNNNNNNNNNNNNNNNNNNNNNNNNNNNNAGAUCAAUCUAGUAGGCCAAACCAAACUGAUAAUUCGAAGAGACUUGCAAAGAUAACCAAUCUUUGCAUACAUAUCUUCGCAAGUCUAUUCGAAUUAUCAGUUUGGUUUGGCCUACUAGAUUGAUCUUUCUUGCAAUGGGAGAAGUGCUUAGCUUUGGGUUCAAUCUUGCGGUGUCCUUUCCCAGUGACAGUAGGGGCAGAAAGGCACGUAUUGUAUUGUUGCCAUCGAGGAUAACAAGAUGGGGUUUUUAUCAUAUUGCAUGAAUUUAUCUCUCUACAUCAUGUCAUCUCGCUUAAGGCGUUACUCUGUUUUUAUGAACUUAAUACUCUAGAUGCAUGCUGGAUAGCGGUUGAUGAGUGGAGUAAUAGUAGUAGAUGCAGGCAGGAGUCGGUCUACUUGUCUCGGACGUGAUGCCUAUAUACAUGAUCAUACCUAGAUAUUCUCAUAACUAUGCUCAAUUCUAUCAAUUGCUCAACAGUAAUUCGUUCACCCACCGUAAAAUACUUAUGCUCUUGAGAGAAGCCACUGGUGAAACCUAUGCCCCCCAGGUCUAUCUUCAUAAUAUUAAUCUUCCAACACUUAGUUAUUUCCUUUGCUUUUAUUUUACUUUGCAUCUUUAUCACAAAAAUACCAAAAAUAUUAUCCUAUCAUAUCUAUCAGAUCUCACUCUCGUAAGUGACCGUGACGGGAUUGACAACCCCUUAGCGCGUUGGUUGCGAGGAGUUAUUUGUUUUGUGUAGGUACGAGGGACUCGCGUGUAGCCUCCUGCUGGAUUGAUACCUUGGUUCUCAAAAACUGAGGGAAAUACUUACGCUACUUUGCUGCAUCACCCUUUCCUCUUCAAGGAAAUCCAACGCAGUGCUCAAGAGGUAGCGGAGAAGAUUUCUGGCGCCAUUGUCGGGGAAGCUUACGCAAAGUCAAGUCAAGAUUUGGACUCCUGACAACGAGCCAUUUCUGGCGCCGUUGCCGGGGAGUCAACGCAAAAGUAAACAUACCAAGUACCCAUCACAAAUCCCUUAUCUCCCACAUUACAUUAUUUGCCAUUUGCCUCUCGUUUUCCUCUCCCCCACUUCACCCUUGCCGUUUUAUUCGCCCUCUCUUUUUCCGUUCGCCUCUUUUUCUCUUGCUUUUUGUUUGCUCGUGUGUUGGACUGCUUGCUUGUCACUAUGGCUCAAGAUAAUACCAAAUUGUGUGACUUUACCAAUACAAACAAUAAUGAUUUCCUUAGCACUCCGAUUGCUCCUCUUAUCGAUGCUGAAUCUUGUGAAAUCAAUGCUGCUUUGUUGAAUCUUGUCAUGAAAGAUCAAUUCGCCGGCCUUCCUAGUGAAGAUGCCGCUACUCAUCUAAAUAGCUUCGUUGAUUUGUGUGAUAUGCAAAACAAGAAAGAUGUUGAUAAUGAUAUUGUUAAAUUGAAGCUAUUUCCUUUUUCGCUUAGAGAUCGUGCUAAAGCUUGGUUUUUGUCUUUGCCUAAAAAUAGUAUUGAUUCUUGGAACAAGUGCAAAGAUGCUUUUAUCUCUAAGUAUUUUCCUCCCGCUAAGAUCAUCUCUCUUAGAAACGAUAUUAUGAAUUUUAAGCAACUUGAUCAUGAACAUGUUUCACAAGCUUGGGAGAGGAUGAAAUUAAUGUUACGUAACUGCCCUACUCAUGGUUUGAAUUUGUGGAUGAUUAUACAAAAUUUUUAUGCCAGAUUGAAUUUUGCUUCUAGAAAUCUUUUAGAUUCGGCCGCGGGAGGCACUUUUAUGGAAAUCACUUUAGGAUAAGCUACUAAACUCCUAGAUAAUAUUAUGGUUAAUUAUUCUCAAUGGCACAUUGAAAGAUCUACUAAUAAAAAAGUGCAUGCGAUAGAAGAAAUUAAUGUUUUGAGUGGAGAGAUGGAUGAACUUAUGAAACUAUUUGCUAGUAAGAGUGUUUCCUCCGAUCCUAAUGAUAUGCCUUUGUCUACUUUGAUUGAGAAUAAUUCUAUGGAUGCGAAUUUUGUUGGUAGGAAUAAUUUUGGUAACAACGCGUAUAGAGGAAACUUUAAUCCUAGGCCUUAUCAUAGUAAUUCCUCUAAUAAUUAUGGAAAUUCCUACAACAACUCUUAUUGAAAUUUUAAUAAGAUGCCCUCUUAAUUUGAGACUAGUGUUAAAGAGUUUAUGAAUUCGCAAAAGAAUUUCAAUGCUUUGCUUGAGGAAAAAUUUCUUAAAGUUGAUGAAUUGGCUAGGAACGUUGAUAGAAUUUCUCUUGAUGUUGAUUCUUUAAAGCUUAGAUCUAUUCCUCCUAAGCAUGAUAUCAAUGAGUCUCUCAAAGCCAUGAGAAUUUCCAUUGAUGAGUGCAAAGAAAUAACCGCUAGGAUGCGUGCUAAGAAAGAUUGCUUUAUAAAAGCGUGUUCUUCCAAUUUCUAUGAAAAUAAAGAUGAAGAUCUAAAAGUUAUUGAUGUGUCCCCUAUUAAAUCUUUGUUUUGCAAUAUGAAUCUUGAUAAUGAUGGGACUGAAUAUGAUCCACCUUUACCUAGAAGGCGUUCCAAAAAUUCGGAGUUUUUAGAUCUUGAUGCUAAAAUUGAUAAAAGUGGGAUUGAAGAAAUCAAAACCCUAGAUGUUGCUAGACCCACUAUUUUGGAUUUCAAGGAAUUUAAUUAUGAAAAUUGCUCUUUGAUUGAUUGUAUUUCCUUGUUGCAAUCCGUGCUAAAUUCUCCUCAUGCUUAUAGUCAAAAUAAAGCUUUUACCAAACAUAUCGUUGAUGCCUUGAUGCAAUCUUAUGAAGAAAAGCUUGAGUUGGAAGUUUCUAUCCCUAGAAAACUUUAUGAUGAAUGGGAACCAACUAUUAAAAUUAAGAUUAAGGAUCAUGAAUUCCAUGCUCUAUGUGAAUUGGGUGCUAGUGUUUCCACUAUUCCCAAAACUUUGUGCGAUUUGCUAGAUUUCCGUGAUUUUGAUGAUUGCUCUCUAAACUUGCACCUUGCGGAUUCCACUAUUAAGAAACCUAUGGAAAGAAUUAAUGAUGUUCUUAUUGUUGCAAAUAGGAACUAUGUGCCCGUAGAUUUUAUCGUUCUUGAUAUAGAUUGCAAUCGUUCAUGUCCUAUUAUUCUUGGUAGACCUUUCCUUAGAACGAUUGGUGCAAUUAUUGAUAUGAAGGAAGGGAAUAUUAGAUUCCAAUUUCCAUUAAAGAAAUGCAUGGAACACUUCCCUAGGAAGAAAAUAAAAUUACCAUAUGAAUCUAUCAUGAGAGCCACUUAUGGAUUGCCUACCAAAGAUGGCAAUACCUAGAUCUAUCCUUGCUUUUAUGCCUAGCUAGGGGAGUUAAACGAUAUCGCUUGUUGGGAGACAACCCAAUUUUAUUUUUAGUUUUUUUGCUUUUUUGCUUCUGUUUAGGAAUAAAUCUUUGAUCUAGCCUCUGGUUAGAUGUGUUUUUGUGUUUUAAUUAGUGUUGUGCCAAGUUAAACCUAUAGGAUCUUCUUGGAUGAUAGUUAUUUGAUCUUGCAGAAAUUUCCAGAAACUUUCUGUUCACGAAAACAAUUGUUAAAAAUCAUCGGAACGUGAUAAAAUAGUGAUUCCAAUUGUUGCUGAUCAAUAAAAAAAUUUCCUAGGUCGUCCUAUUUUUGCUGAUUUUUUGGAGUUCCAGAGGUUUGCGUUAGUUACAGAUUACUACAGACUGUUCUGUUUUUGACAGAUUCUGUUUUUCAUGUGUUGUUUGCUUAUUUUGAUGAAUCUAUGGCUAGUAAAAUAGUUUAUAAACCAUAGAUAAGUUGGAAUACAGUAGGUUUAACACCAAUAUAAAUAAAGAAUGAGUUCAUUACAGUACCUUGAAGUGGUCUUUUGUUUUCUUUAGCUAACGGAGCUCACGAGAUUUCUGUUGAGUUUUGUGUUGUGAAGUUUUCAAGUUUUGGGUGAAUUUUUUUGAUGGAUUAUGGAACAAGGAGUGGCAAGAGCCCAAUCUUGGGGAUGCCCAUGGCACCCCCAAGAUAAUCUAAGGACACCAUAAAGCCAAAGCUUGGGGAUGCCCCGGAAGGCAUCCCCUCUUUCGUCUACUUCCAUCGGUAACUUUACUUGGAGCUAUAUUUUUAUUCACCACAUGAUAUGUGUUUUGCUUGGUAUCGGUGUCAAAACCGGUGGAUCUCGGGUAGGGGGUCCAGAACUGUGUGUCUAAGGUGGAUGGUAACAGGAGGCGGGGGACAUGAUGUUUACCCAGGUUCGGGCCCUCUCGAUGAAGGUAAUACCCUACUUCCUGCUUGAUUGAUCUUGAUGAUAUGAGUAUUACAAGAGUUGAUCUACCACGAGAUCAUAGAGGCUAAACCCUAUAAGCUAGCGUAUGGUAUGAUUGUUGUUGUCCUACGGACUAAACCCUCCGGUUUAUAUAGACACCAGAGGGGGCUAGGGUUACACAGAGUCAGUUACAAGGGAGGAGAUCUACAUAUCCGUAUUGCCAAGCUUGCCUUCCACGCCAAGGAGAGUCCCAUCCGAACAUGGGAUGAAGUCUUCAAUCUUGUAUCUUCAUAGUCCAACAGUCCGGCCAAAGGAUAUAGUCCGGCUGUCCAGAGACCCCCUAAUCCAGGACUCCCUCAGUAGCCCCUGAACCAGGCUUCAAUGACGAUGAGUCCGACGCACAGAUUGUCUUCGGCAUUGUAAGGCGGGUUCCUCCUCCGAAUACUCCAUAGAAGAUUUUGAACACAAGGAUAGUGUCCGGCUCUGCAAAACAAAUUCCACAUACCACCGUAGAGAGAAUAAUAUUUCCACACAUCUAAUCUGCCGACCGUUUUUCAUAAUGUGACGUAUUGCCGUGGUCUGGCCAUGACGAACCGUCUUUCUCAACCAGCCUGCCACUGCCCGUUUUGCGAGGCGAUUUUAUUGGCACGUCUUGUCGAAGCAGAGAUCAUGUCCCCCUUAUUACGGGAUUCUCAUCAAUACGGAUGUGGGUAACCCAAUCGUGCCUGUUGGUAUGACUCCUCGAUUUUAGGCAAGUCCCAAACGGGCACGCGAAGGACGCUUGAUAUUCAUCCCUGAGGGAGUCCUGGAUUAGGGGGUGUCCGGGUAGCCGGACUAUACCUUCAGCCGGACUCCUGGACUAUGAAGAUACAAGAUUGAAGACUUCGUCCCAUGUCGGGAUGGGACUUUCCUUGGCGUGGAAGGCAAGCUUGGCGAUACGGAUAUUUAGAUCUCCUACCAUUGUAACCGACUUUGUGUAACCUUAACCCUCUCCGGUGUCUAUAUAAACCGGAGGGUUUUAGUCCGUAGGACAACUCCAACAUACAACAAUCAUACCAUAGGCUAGCUUCUAGGGUUUAGCCUCCUUGAUCUCGCGGUAGAUCUACUCUUGUACUACCCAUAUCAUCAAUAUUAAUCAAGCAGGACGUAGGGUUUUACCUCCAUCAAGAGGGCCCGAACCUGGGUAAAACUUCGUGUCCCUUGUCUCCUGUUACCAUCCGCCUAGACGCACAGUUCGGGACCCCCUACCCGAGAUCCGCCGGUUUUGACACCGACAAUCCCCUUUAUAAAGAGGCCAAGGCCUGUCCUUUUUCUUCUUGCACUCAAUCGAAUCCUUCCCCCCACCUCGAGUUCCAACAGCCAAGGCUCAGGUCAGGCGCUUCGGACCUUCAACCAUGUCCAGAUCCAACCUUCAAGGUCGGUGGAUGCCUUCCUCUGUCACAGAGGAAGACAUCAAGAAGCUAAGAGAGGCCAGGUAUUUGACCGGCGAAAUCUCGCACAGGUUGCCUGCUCGAGGGCAGGUCAUUCCCACUCCCGAAUCCGGCGAGAGCGUUGUAUUCAUCUCUCACUUCCUCCGAGGGCUAGGCCUUGCUCUAGAUCCCUUUGUUAGGGGGCUCAUGUUCUAUUACGGGCUGGAUUUUCAUGACCUGGCCCCGGAUUCCAUCCUUCACAUCUCGUCGUUCAUCUCGUGUGUGAGGCCUUCCUCCGCAUUACCCCACACUUCGGCCUGUGGCUCAAAACAUUCAAUGUGAAGCCGAAGAUGAUUGAGGGGCGACACGCAGAGUGCGGAGGUGUCGUAAUAAGCAAAGGCGUCGAUGUUCCAUGGCCAAAAGGUUCCUUCCCGGAGUUGUCCAGUUUAUGGCAACGGGAGUGGUUUUAUAUCACAGCUCCCCGGGGUACCAAGUGGGUGGCCGCCCCUGCCUUUCGCUCGAGCCCCCCCACCACAACUGAUGUCAUGGAUCUACAAGGGCUGGACUGGGGGCGAGUAAAUGAUGUGCCGAUAUUGCAAAGUUGCAUUCGAGAUCUCCUCGAGAGAGAUGUCAGCCUGGUCACGAUAAUGCAAGUCAUGCUAGUUCGUCGGGUCUUGCCUUGCAAACGUCGACCCCUCCGAAUGUGGGAGUUCAACCCGGAAGGACCGCGAGCUAUCUAGUACUUCUUCGGCAUGACGCUCGAAGAGAUGUACAAUUUGUUCUUCGGACCACAAAUAAGGGGUCCGGACCUCACCGAGGAUGUGGGUCUGAGCUGCAAUCGCCCAGAUACCCAAGUAAGUAAUCCUGUGGCCGAAUACGCUGUCUUUUUAUUCAUCAUAACAUCAUUCUGAAAAGUCGCUCUUUGACCAGGAUUGGGUAACCAAGGCGAAGAUGAUCAGGUGUUCGGCUCCCCUUCCCGAAGGCUCAGCAGAUCCAAUACUGGCCAGGAUGCUCGAGCCGGCGCCUUAUCAGGUGCCCUCAGGGGAAGAUAAAGGGGGGAAUAAAGAGGCUGAAAGCGGGCCUCACUCAUCAUUCAUCCAAACCGGGGGAAUUAGCGCCUCCGCGAAGGAGGAUAAUGAUACGUCUCCAAUGUAUCUAUAAUUUUUUGAUUGCUCCAUGCUAUAUUAUCUACUGUUUUGGGCAAUAUUGGGCUUUAUUAUCCACUUUUAUAUUAUUUUUGGGACUAACCUAUUAACCGGAGGCCCAGCCCAGAUUUGCUGUUUUAUGCCUAUUUCAGUGUUUCAAAGAAAAGGAAUAUCAAACGGAGUCGAAACGGAACGAAAUCAACUAGAGAAGUUAUUUUUGGAAGGAAAGCUACCGGAUGGACUUAGACCCCACGUCAGGAGCUAAGGGAGGUGCCCCGAAGCUCCACCGACGUACUUCCUGGACCCAUAUAUACUCACGUGCCCUAAAACUUCCAGAAUAGAGAUUAGACCGGGAGUUCCGCCGCCGCAAGCCUCUGUAGCCACCAAAAACCUCUCGGGACCCUGUUCCGGCACCCUGCCGGAGGGGGGAACCCUCACCGGUGGCCAUCUUCAUCAUCCCAGCGCUCUCCAUGACGAGGAGGGAGUAGUUCACCCUCUGGGCUGAGGGUAUGUACCAGUAGCUAUAUGUUUGAUCUCUCUCUCUCUCUCUCGUGUUCUUGAUUUGGCACGAUCUUGAUGUAUCGCGAGCUUUGCUAUUAUAGUUGGAUCUUAUGUUUCUUCUCCCCCUCUACUCUCUUGUAAUGGAUUGAGUUUUCCCUUUGAAGUUAUCUUAUCAGAUUGAGUCUUUAAAGAUUUGAGAACACUUGAUGUAUGUCUUGCCGUGCGUAUCUAUGGUGACAAUGGGAUAUCACGUGAUUCACUUGAUGUAUCUUUUGGUGAUCAACUUGCGGGAUCCGCCCAUGAACCUAUGCAUAGGGGUUGGCACACGUUUUCGUCGUGAUUCUCCGGUAGAAACUUUGGGGCACUCUUUGAGGUUCUAUGUGUUGGUUGAAUAGAUGAAUAUGAUGUGUGAUGCAUAUUGUAUAAUCAUACCCACGGAUACUUGAGGUGACAUUGGAGUAUCUAGGUGACAUUAGGGUUUUGGUUGAUUUGUGUCUUAAGGUGUUAUUCUAGUAUGAACUCUAGGGCUGUUUGUGACACUUAUAGGAAUAGCCCAACGGAUUGAUUGGAAAGAAUAACUUUGAGGUGGUUUCGUACCCUACCAUAAUCUCUUCAUUUGUUCUCCGCUAUUAGUGACUUUGGAGUGACUCUUUGUUGCAUGUUGAGGGAUAGUUAUAUGAUCCAAUUACGUUAUUAUUGUUGAGAGAACUUGCACUAGUGAAAGCAUGAACCCUAGGCCUUGUUUCAACGCAUUACAAUACCGUUUACGCUCACUUUUACCGUUUGCUACCUUGCUGUUUUUAUAUUUUCAGAUUACAAAAACCUAUAUCUACCAUCCAUAUUGCACUUGUAUCACCAUCUCUUCGCCAAACUAGUGCACCUAUACAAUUUACCAUUGUAUUGGGUGUGUUGGGGACACAAGAGACUCUUUGUUAUUUGGUUGCAGGGUUGCUUGAGAGACCAUCUUCAUCCUACGCCUCCAACAGAUUGAUAAACCUUAGGUCAUCCACUUGAGGGAAAUUUGCUACUGUCCUACAAACCUCUGCACUUGGAGGCCCAAAAACGUCUACAAGGAGAAGGUUGCGUAGUAGACAUCAAGCGCUUUUUUGGCACCGUUGCCGGGGAGGCUAGGUAAGCGACACUCACACCCCGUCAACUAAGCUCUUUUCUGGCGCCGUUGCCGGGGAGGUGAGUGCUUGAAGGUAUAUCUUUAGAUCUUGCAAUCGAAUCUUUUUGUUUCUUGUUUUAGCACUAGUUUAGUUUAUAAAAUAAAACUACAAAAAAUGGAAUUGAGUUUGUCUCAUACGCUUCAUCUUUUUAAUAUCUUUCGUGAGUAUGAUGGAAAGGAAAAUUGUGCCAAAGUGUUAUAAGAAGAAUGCAUUAAAUUGUUUGGCAUUAAAUCUUUGAAUGAUGAGCAUGAUUGCAAUGUUGUUAGUAUGAAUUCCUUGAAUAUCCAUGAUGCUAAUGAUAUGCAAAGCCACAAGCUUGGGGAAGCUAAGUUUGAUGAAGAUGAUAUUUUUUGUACCCCAAGCUUUGAUGAGCAAAUUUACUAUGAUGAAAGCAUGCCUCCUAUCUAUGAUGAUUAUUCUAAUGACACGUAUGCUAUAAAGAAUAAUGAUAACCAUGAAACUUGUCCUCUUGAUCUUAAUUUUCAAUCACAUGAUAAUUAUUUUGUUGAGUUUGCUCCCACUACUAUUGAUGAGAACAAAUUUGCUUACGUGGAGAGUAGUAAAAUUUCUAUGCAAGUAGAUCAUGAAAAGAAUGCUUUAGGUGCUGGUUAUAUUGUUGAAUUAAUUCAUGAUGCUACUGAAAAUUAUUAUGAGGGAGGAAUAUAUGCUUGUAGGAAUUGCAAUAAUAUCAAGUUUCCUCUCUAUGUGCUUAAAGUUUUGAAGUUAUGCUUGUUUUACCUUCCUAUGCAAGUUGAUUCUUGUUCCCAUAAGUUGUUUCCUCACAAAAUCCCUAUGCAUAGGAAGUGGGUUAGACUUAAAUGUGCUAUUCAUAUUCUUCAUGAUGCUCUCUUUAUGUUUCAAUUCUUAUCUUUUAUGUGAGCAUUGAUGAAGCCAUGUACCUAGGGUAGGGUCAUGGACCUGUCCUAACUGCCCUACCCCAGGUCAUCCCUAGAAGAAAUCACCUUUCAAUCGACUUGGAGGUGUUCCACUCGACAGACUCGAAGACAUUCGACCAAGAAGUAAUCACUCGACCAAGAUCCAACCACUCGAAGGCCAGGAGACCUAAAGCCACUCCGCACGCUAACGGUCGGUCAUUGAGUAGCUUUUAUGGUCAUCAUAGUACUUUAUUAGAGGCAUUACCAGUAAUGCCCAACCUUAAUGUACUUUAAACCCUGCAUAACUGAGGGCCGGAGGGGUCUGGCGAACUCUAUAUAAGCCACCCCCCUCCUCAGUGUAAAGGGUUCGCACCCCUGUAAUUCAUAUACCCAUAAUCCAGUCGACCGCCUCCGGGCUCCGAGACGUAGGGCUAUUACUUCCUCCGAGAAGGGCCUGAACUCGUAAACCUCGUGUGCUUACAACUACUCCAUAGCUAGGAUCUUGCCUCUCCAUACCUACCCCCCUACAUUACUGUCAGACUUAGAACCACGACAGUUGGCGCCCACCAUGGGGCAGGUGUCUUAGCGACUUGUUGGAGAAGUUGCGAUUUUUUCCGAUCCAAAUCAUCAUGGUUUCUGGCGGAGUUUUGGUGGAGGGCCGCGAGAUCCGCCUCGGCGCGCUCACGUUCAUCGCCGACGACUCCGCUUGGCUUCAGGAGGCUCCGCUCGACGUCGACGCACUCCCUGUCCGCGAGGCGACGCACUUUCGCGCAUGCGUCCGUGGCGUCCUCCUGCGGCAACCGUCGACCCAGUAUCGGUCGGCCCCUGUGUUGUCCUCCCUCCCUGUUUCCCGCCGGCGCAAGCACUCCGGUCGGUUGAGACUUCAGCAGUGGGUGAGACACGCGGUGGCACGCCAGUCGGCCACCCGUCAAGUCGCAGUGAUCGAGCCCGACGAAUCCCUCUACGACCUGUUCGACUGGCUCCGCAGAGACCGCAUCCGAGUGCGAUAGCAGUGAUCCGGCAGCGGAGGUUCUGAUUAUUGAUGGUCCACGUAGUCCUCCUGGUUUUCCCCGCGCCGACGGAGGCGCUGGUGGAGGCGACCCAUCGCAUCCCCAUGAGGAAUAUCUCCCCGAGCCUCUCACGUCGCUACAAAGAGAAGAACUUUGUCGCCGGAACAUGGAUGCGCUGCACACUCCUAUCGUUGGGGAAACCCCCGAGGCCCAUGCCUUGGAGGACGCGCGCCUGGCCAACUUGGCUGAGCGCACUCGACUGGAGAACCUCCAGCGAGCACUCGACGAGCGUGCGCGAUAACGGGUUCCAGAAUCCAGUCGACGUCAGCUCUUUCCGCCCCCACAGGUAUAUCGAACUCCGAUUCAGAAUUUAGCAGCUGCAGCCCGUAUAGCAAAGUCGAUUCAGCCUUCCCAGUCAGAGGAUGGCAGAGGCUUGCUGUAGAUCAGAGCAUUACUCCGGGCAGCAGGAGACCAGAAUUCCGCUGUUUCUCAGUCGCGGAACAGGAUCCACAGCAGAUCCGUUGCUGCAGACACAGUCCAGUCGGCUCACAGCCCAAGAUCGCCCCUGAGGCGUGAGGGACGUGGAGACCGGCGUGAUCAGUACAGGAACCGUGAGCAGUAUGAUCACCGAUUCGAUCGUGAUGAUCGACAUCGAGUGCCCACCCCUCUCCCGAGGAGUGGAUCAUAUGUGCCUCGACAACAGGAUGACAGGAGCCCUCACAGUGUUGGGCGAAGGAUUCCAGUCGACCCCAGGGAACCAGGCUUUGAUGCGAGAUCCAUUCUCGUUCAAGGUUUGGUCGACAGGAACAAAGCUCACCGAGAAGGUCACGAUAGAGAUGCACCUACCAGCAGCAGAGUGCAUGUUUCAGGGCCAGAGUGCUUUAGCAGAGCCAUCAGGGCCGCAGUGAUUCCUCCCAACUUCAGGUUGGCGACUGGAGUCAGUAAGUUCGCUGGUGAGUCCAAGCCCGAUACUUGGCUUGAAGACUACCGAGUGGCUGUCCAGAUUGGUGGUGGCAAUGAUGAAGUGGCCAUGAAGCACCUGCCUCUCAUGUUGGAGGGCUCGGCCAGAGCGUGGCUGAAUCAGUUAGCACCCAGCAGCAUUUACACUUGGGAAGAUCUCGCCCAAGUGUUUGUCACAACAUUUGAAGGAACAUGCAAGCAACCGGCAGGGCUGACGGAACUGCGGUCUUGUGUGCAGAAGCCAAAUGAAACUUUGAGGGAUUACAUCUAGAGAUGGAUCACGUUGCAUCACACGGUAGAGAAUGUGUCUGAUCACCAAGCAGUCUGUGCCUUCAAGGAAGGUGUCAAGUAUAGAGAACUGAAUCUAAAAUUCGGUCGAACUGGAGACAUGUAUCUGAGUCAGAUGAUGGAGAUUGCCACCAAGUACGCUAAUGGUGAAGAUGAGGAUCGACUCCGGAGUGGCAAGCUCAAGUCAGUCGCCCAAGAAACCGGAGGAGGAAAUUCCAAUCGGAAACAGAAGUGGAAAGCCGAGCCAGCUGCUCCUGGGGAAGCCUUGGCUGUAACUCAAGGAAAGUUUAAGGGGAAACCCAAAGGGCCUUCGAACCCCAAGAAAGUUAAAGACCAAGACGGAAAUGAUGUGUUGGAUUUUCCAUGUCACAUCCACACAAAGAAAGAUGAAGAGGGUAAACUCAUUUACCCGAAACAUACCACUCGACAGUGUCGGCUCUUGAUCCAGCAGUUCCAGGGCAAACAACCCAAAUAUAAGGAAAAGGAGUCGGACAAAGUUGAGGACAAGGAAUAUAGUGAUGAUGGAUACCCCCACGUCAAUUCCACCCUGAUGAUUUUUGCUGAUGUUGAAAGCAAAAGUCGACUGAAAGUUAUCAACCGUGAGGUGAAUAUGGUUGCUCCGGCGACACCCAGUUAUUUGAAGUGGUCUCAGGCUGCCAUCACAUUCGACCAGUCCGAUCACCCAAUGCACAUUGCCACCCCUGGGAGGCAAGCUUUGGUGGUCGACCCAGUUGUCCAAGGCACUCGACUGACCAAAGUCUUGAUGGAUGGUGGCAGUGGUUUGAACAUACUGUAUGCAGAGACGUUGAAAGGGAUGGGCAUUCCAAUGUCCAGACUCAGUACCAGCAACAUGAGUUUCCAUGGAGUCAUUCCUGGGAAGAAGGCUGAGUCACUCGGCCAAAUUGCUCUUGAUGUGGUUUUCGGUGAUUCCAAGAAUUACCGCAAAGAUAAGUUGACGUUCGAAGUUGUGGAUUUCCAGAGUGCUUAUCAUGCUAUUUCGGGCAGGCCAGCUUAUGCACGCUUCAUGGCUCGACCAUGUUAUGUAUAUCUCAAAUUGAAGAUGCCUGGUCCCAAAGGUUUGAUCACUGUUACAGGCAAUCGGAAGAAGGCAGAAGAGUGCUUUCAGAAAGGCUCAAAGAUCGCUGAUGCUCAGAUGGCAGUGGUAGAGCUGCAGGAGUACCAGAAGACUACAGACCCGAGUGAUUUGUUGCGAGCCAAGAAGCCCGCUACGGAAUCAACUUUUCAGUCGUCUGGUGAAACGAAGCCGGUUCACAUUCACCCGACCGAUCCCAAUGCUGCUCCGACUCAUAUCUCAACAACACUCGACUCCAAAUAGGAAGAAGCGCUCAUCCAGUUCCUCAUGAGAACUGGGACAUCUUCACAUGGAAGCCUUCUGACAUGCCGGGUGUUCCCAGGGGGCUGGCUGAGCACCGCUGAGGGAGUCCUGGAUUAGGGGGUGUCCGGGUACCUGGACUAUACCUUCAGCCGGACUCUUGGACUAUGAAGAUACAAGAUUGAAGACUUCGUCCCGUGUCCGGAUGGAACUGUCGGCGUUCUGGGAACGGGGGUCCCCAGACUUGCCUGCCUGCGGCCUGCGGCGUGGCUCAAAUGGGGGCCCAGUGCGGCCCAUCUUCAUCAACACAAGGCUCAAGACCCUCGCGAGGGGCGAAGCCUCGCGAGGCGGACGACACGGCGCAUCCUCAGGCACGACCUCAUCAGGCUGGCUCGCGAGGAGGCGGAGAGAUCAAGGCAGGGUACCUCGCGAGGUGCCCAUGACACAAGCCAUGACGAUCGAGGGUGCCAGGCGGGUGCCAGUGCGUGCAGCGUCCUUCUUUCCUCUUUGGUGCAAAGGGGGCAGGCGCAGCCGCGGGGUACCGAGGCAUCAGGCAAAGGUUGCCAUUUCAGUGCAACGAGACCAAGACCAGGAGGACUACAAGACGGAGGUCACCAUGGAGCCCAGCGCGACGUCAUCGACAGAGCCUUUGGCAGGCGGAGACCAACUUUAGUCAGGAUAAGUGUACUCGCUGUCCCCCUUCAAAUUAGCCCGCCAUUGUUGGCUCCCUUCCCGCUCAAUAUUUGGGAAGAGGACCAGGGCCUCUAUAAAUAGGACUAGCCACCCACAUUGCAAGGGGUUCCGAUAGUCGAUACGUGAGAGAGAGAGAGGUGACUGAACUCCUCCUAGCAGUUCAUCACCCCAACCAAGAACAGACCCUCGCGGGGCUGUUCUUCCUUGUAUUGUUCAUCAUCUCCAGCCCCAAGAGGCAAUCCACCAACCACACACUGGAUUAGGGUAUUACACCACAACGGUGGCCCGAACCAGUAUAAAUCUUGUGUCUCUUGUGCAGUUCUUUUAGUAGUUUAGAUCCUUGUGAGACGGAGAGGUAGAAGGCGUGAUCUCCGCGUGCACCCCAGUGUUCGAACCUUAAGGGUCUGCCGGAACCCACGAAUCCGACAUUUUGGCGCGCCAGGUAGGGGUGCGCCGGAAUUCGUCUCCCACCACUCCGCUCUCCUCCGACCGUCGCAUCCAUGUCUGACGCUCGUCGAGCCCGCGCCGAGCGUCGGGCCACCAUCGCUUCUCGCGUCGCCCAGACAGCCCCCGUCGGUGGGCGUCCUCGUCGUUCCCCGUCGCCCAUCGUCAACGCCGCCACUGGCCCGGCGGGGGGCGAGCAGCAAGCGUCGUCUCAGCAUCCGUCCGUGCGGCAAGACGGCCGCACCGCUACUCCAUCGCUCGCACCGGCCGGCUCUUCGUCCCGCGCGCUCCGCGCACCCUUGGAGGCACGAGCUGCGCUCAUCACGGCAAACGAACUCCUGCGCUACUGCCCCGUCGACGACGUCUAUGAGGAGUGGCUCAACCGCGUCGCCGAGCUCGUCCGCGCCGCAGGGGGCUCUCCUGCGCCGUCCGCCCCACUGCACCGCACUCCGCCCCGCGCGGGCAAUGAAGCUCCGGGGGCGUACCAGCCGCCUCCUCUCCAAGAAGACGCCAUGGCUCCAAGGCGCGUGGCCCCUGGGCGGAACCCGCUCUGCCAGGUGCCAGCACAGCAAGAACAGAGCUGCCAAGAAGUCCCUCGCCCACAAGGAGCUGCCCGGGCGCUCCCUGCUCCAGCUCCGGCACGCCAAGACCCCGCUUUGCUCCUAGCUGCAGCGCGUGGGGACCCUCAAGGCCAAGCUCUCCACCAACCGAAGCCUUUCGUGGCCACCGCAGGCUGCCGCGCCUACACCACCGAGAUGCGCAGCGUCGUGUGGCCCGGCAAGUUCAAGCCAGACUUGCCUCCUCGCUACAACGGCACAACUGACCCCGCAGAGUUCCUCCAGCUCUAUGAGCUGGGCAUCGAGGCUGCCAGCGGGGACGAGAAGGUCAUGGCGAACUGGUUCCCCAUGGCGCUGAAGGAGGGAGCUCGCACCUGGCUCCUGAAUCUGGCUCCAGGCACGAUCUCCUCCUGGGACCAGAUGCGCACCCGCUUCAUCGCCAACUUCCAAGGUACACGUGACCGGCCACCCGCCGUGAGCGACAUGCGCUGCAUCAAGCAACAACCCGGAGAGACCCUGCAAAAGUACAUCCAGCACUUCAACAGUGCGCGCCUCAAGAUCCCCAAGGUGUCAGAGGAAGCCAUCAUCUCGGCCUUCUCCGAUGGUGUGCGCGACGUCAAGAUGAAGGAGGAGCUGGCGAUGCAUGAAGACCUCUGCACCUCCCUGGAGCUGUUCAACUUGGCGACCAAGUGCGCCAGGGCUGAGGAGGGGCGUCUCUCCCUCCUCGAGCUGCCUGCCGUGGACCCAGAAGAGAAGAAGCCCAAGGCCAAGGACGUGAAGCGCAAGGGGGCUGCCGUACUCGCAGCCGAACCAGACACCAAGCGGGGCAAGGAUCUGCCCGAACCCUCCAAAGGCAGCCGGUACUGUGUGUACCACGACCUCCACACCCACAACACCAACGAAUGUCAAGAACUCCGUGCCGUGCGAGAAGGAAGGAUCGGCCGUCGCCCUGACCGUGCUGACCGGGGCUACGGCUGAGGAGGAGGAAGAAACCCAGGACGCUGGGAAGAUCGCGGCCCGCGCUAGGGGUGGCGCGACCAACCUCGUGAGGAUCGCUGGCGGGACCUGCCUCGCGAGGGGGACUGGAGGGAUCAGCCUCGUGAGGAUCGCCCUCAUGGCAACGCAGGCCUACCUCCGCUGCCGCCUCAACCAAGGAGGAACGAAGACCGCCAUCAAGACGAGGGGGCUGGGGGCUUCCAAGAGCCGCGCGCAAUCGCCUGCAUCCUGGGCGGAGUUCAAGCCCCAGCCUCUCAACGUAUCUUCAAGCAGUUUGCCCGCAAAGUGAAUGCAGUUCUCCCCAAGCUCGAAGCAACGCGCCCCCUCAGGUGGUCGGCAUGCGCCAUCAUGUUCAGCUCAGUAGACGAGCUCAAGUGCUCGGCCACAGCCGGAGUCCUCCAGAUGCUUUUCUCCCCAGUCAUCAGCAACGUGCUGGUCACCAAGACCCUCAUCGACGGAGGGGCAGGGCUCAACGUCCUGUCCGUGGAAACAUUCAACAACCUCCAAGUGCCCUAUGAUCAGCUUCAGCCAACCAAGCCUUUCUCCGGAGUUACCGACGGUUCCACAGUCCCGAUCAGGCAGGUCCACCUCCCUGUCACCUUCGGGGCAUGCAACAACUACCGCACCGAGCUCAUUGACUUCGACGUCGCCCACAUCCGCCUGCCGUACAACGCCAUCCUCGGGUACCCAGCGUUGGCCAAGUUCAUGGCCGUGACUCACCACGGCUACAACGUCCUCAAGAUGCCAGGAAGUGGCGGCGUCAUCACGGUGCCCUGUGAAGAGAAAGAUGCAGUGUGUUCCCUGGAGCGAGCCUUUCAGGCCGUGUCGCUAGAAGACCCAGAUCACGGAAGCAGGAGGCUUCCUGAGACCACCCCCAAGAAGAAGAAGACAUCGCCAGGGUCAGCCCCUCAGGAGGCAGGCCCUUCUGGGCCCGUGUCUGCCCGGGAGGGCCCUCCUUCCAUUGCAUAGGAAGGCGCGCCCGGCGCCCUCCUCAGGCAGGGCUCGGGGGCUCUCACCUGGAGGGCCACCGACCUAGCCAGGGUCACGAGGGAGGCGCUUGGGCACCAUGUGGAGGCGUGCCUCGAAGCACGUUUCCCCCGAGAAGGAGCCAAGCAAGGAAGGCCAGACCAACAGGAGUUCGUUAACAAGGCCAUUCAAGAACUACAAGAGUCGAGGAUCAUGAGGGGUUGCCGUCAUCCACCAGCUGUGGCCCCACAUCCAGGCGAGGAUGGUGGGCUGCGCGUCUGCAUCGACGUACCAGGGCUCAAUCAGAUCGCCACGACGGAGCGCCUCUGGCCCUCGCAAGUGGGGCGCUGCGGGGGUCCACCCCACAGCUAUGUUCGCAUGCCUUACGGCCUGCCGAGCAUGGUUGCGGCGUACCAGCGCCUCAUGAGGGGCAUCAUGGAGGCUCAGGAAGACAGGCGUUCUGCGGCCCUGGCGGAGAUGAAGACAGCUCGCGAGGAGCCACCAGUGCCUCCGGAGCCUCCCGAGGCCCCGGGGCCUGGGGGCUCGUGAGGAUCGGCUUCUGCAGCCUACCGAGUCUGCUGCACCAAUGCCACUUCGCCAACGACAUCCUCAGGUGACAUCUUCCAAGCUUCAAUCCCAGCUGGGAGCGCCCUCCCAGGGUUGCAUCACUCCCAGGCCGCGUGGGUCCGUCCCUGCGGCAUGUAUCCCCUUUUAUUUCUCGGUCGUUAGUUUGCCUUGUUGGGGGCGCCCCACGGGCUGCAUCAUCCCCAAGCCGCUCGGGCCAGGCCCAGCGGCAUGUAUCUCCCUCGCGUUUAUUUCCAACUAUGCAUUCGCCUAUCACGCUUGAUUGCUUGAUGCCCGUCCGUGGCAUCCCUUCUUCUCCAUGUCGACUACUUGCACAUUAAAGGGGGGGUGCCUGAGCAUCGCGACUUAGGGCUCUUACUGGCUCUCCAGCCCUCACCCUCUGGCCUUGUCCAUGGCAUCGCGACCUGGCAUACCAGCGACGGCUGAGACAAGCUCAAGGGCCGGGACCCGAGGACGUAGAGUACUGACAUCUAACCAAAUUUUGCAGGGACACAUCUCAAGAUACGGCCCAGUGCCAGGCGCAACCCGCCUAGAGGUAGGGCCUCGUGAGUCUCGUGCUGGCUCACGGGUGCCCUAAUACACCACACCUACUCCAACCAGCAAGCUCUUGAGUGGCUAACGAUCGACUGAUGACUGCCAUGGCAACCCCAUCGUCUUUCUGUGAUGACUCUGCAGGAUCCUUGGAGGGAACUGCGCUAGCCAAGGCCCUCACGAGGUUCCCUUCGCCCUCGCCCGCGCGAACCGCUUGCACGUUAAAGGGGGGGGGGCGCCUGAGCAUCACGACUCAGGGCUCCUACUGGCUCUCCAGCCCUCACCCUCUGGCCUUGUCCACGGCAUCGCCACCUGGCAUACCAGCGACGGCUAAGACCAGCUCGAGGUCCGGGACCCGAGGACGUAGAGCAGAAAGGGGAGCAGAGGCAAGGGAGAAGGGGCUCGCGAGGACCUUGCCGAGCAAUUCCGUUCCUGCCGACGCGCGGACCAGACGGCGCACCAGGAAUAAUCCCCGGCUCUCGAGAUAAGUCACCACCCAAAGCACUGGCUACCGUGGCACUACCCCCGCACCUAAAGCAAUUCCGUACUAGCGAUGUUGCUUCCCUUUCUCACCAAGCGACGGCUGCUUGGGCGCCAAAGGGGACCUCCUGAGCAUCGCGACUCAGGGGCUCUUACUGGACCCCGGGUCGCUCACCUCCUGGCCUUGACCACGGCAUCGCGACCUGGCAUACCAGCGACGGCUGAUGCCGCCUUGGGACUGGGACCUGUCGACGCAGAGCACCGAGCCCUCGUGAGGUGCAAAAGGGAGGACUGAACUACAACGGGAUCAGCAACUCACACAACUCUGCAGCAAAGAUUGUAUAUUAACAAACGGGACUACAGGCACCUUACAAGCCCCCACGGGGCGCAUUUUGAUUCCUCACAGGGAACGAAUCCUAAGGGAUGCUAACUACACGAGCUCCUACAAAAGAUGCCAUCAUCAACAGUGGGCCGUCAGGCGCCGGCGCCAACUCCAUCCAGAUCAGGGUCGGCGACGGCCUGACGAGUCCGCCCUGCUCCGGGAGCGGCGCCGACUCGGGGGCUCGUAGCUGUCAUCGCUCGUCUCCGGAGUCGCGAAGACUUCGCUGGAGUUGCUGGACCCUUCGGCGCCUCCGCCAAGGGAGCGGUCAACGGGCCUAGCCCUCACCAGGGCAAGGUCCUGGCCACCUCUCCUGCGGCAACACUCCAGCCUGCGCCCGUUCGCGUCGAAGACCUUGACGAACAUCACCGCAGCACCAUCAUACUCCAAGUGGACUGCGAAGACGCCCCUUUCCCUGCAAACCCGGGCGAUCUCUCUCCAGCCACGGGACAUGUAGACCUCGCCCGAGGCAGCGACCACGACCUCUGCCUCGGCCGCGAGGGUGCUGCAGCCGGCGUGCUGCAGCCAGAGCUCCAGGGGCCCUCCUGGAGGGACGAUGGAGGCGAAGAAGGGAGGCAGGAGGAUCCAGGACUGAAGAGGAACGACGACGUGGAGCAUGAACUCAUGGGAGGAGCCCUCGGCAUGGACUCCAGGGGGAACCACCCAAGCCUUCAUGGCCCGACGGCACCGACGACGGCGCUGACCGCGGGGAUCGGCAUCGACACCUUCGGGGCCCUCGACGUGGGCAUACAAGGGAAGCGAGAACCCUGGCAGAGCCCGCUCGCACCGGGGCCUCGCCACCACCUAGCGGUCUUCCUCGUUCCGGCUGCAAAGGGCGAGUCGCUUCUUCGGCGGGAGAGGGUCUGGUCCCUCUCGAGGAGCCUUUCCCUUCUCCGCCGCGGAAAAUCGGCGAAUUGGAGCCAUCACGCCAAGACGGAGCAAGAAUUGAGGCGAGGGAGAAAGCGAGAAGAGAUGGACUGGAAGGGCACGCACGGUGCCAUACUUAUAGCCGGCGAAGGCCAACCGCCAGCCUCCAUGAUCACAGGUAAUCAUGACACUAUUUGCAUGCAGGGACUUGUCCAACUCGCACGAUCACCGAUGCGUCGUGGGGAAGUGGAGACGCCCACGUCCAAUCAACCGCCACGCGGCGCCCAAGGCCACAGGCUGUUAGGGCCCGUGGCGCUUCGCCCUUGCACUUUCGCCUCUCGGCACGGCCAAGUCCGGGCGCGCCUUGGGCCCGGGGGCUACUGUCGGCGUUCUGGGAACGGGGGUCCACAGACUUGCCUGCCUGCGGCCUGCGGCGUGGCUCAAAUGGGGGCCCAGUGCGGCCCAUCUUCAUCAACACAAGGCUCAAGACCCUCGCGAGGGGCCAAGCCUCGCGAGGCGGACGACACGGCGCAUCCUCAGGCACGGCCUCAUCAGGCUGGCUCGCGAGGAGGCGGAGAGAUCAAGGCAGGGUACCUCGCGAGGUGCCCAUGACGCAAGCCAUGACGAUCGAGGGUGCCAGGCGGGUGCCAGCGCGCGCAGCGUCCUUCUUUCCUCUUUGGUGCAAAGGGGGCAGGCGCAGCCGCGGGGUACCGAGGCAUCAGGCAAAGGUUGCCAUUUCGGUGCAACGAGACCAAGACCAGGAGGACUACGAGACGGAGGUCACCAUGGAGCCCAGCGCGGCGUCAUCGACAGAGCCUUUGGCAGGCGGAGACCAACUUUAGUCAGGAUAAGUGUACUCGCUGUCCCCCUUCAAAUUAGCCCGUCAUUGUUGGCUCCCUUCCCGCUCAAUAUUUGGGAAGAGGACCAGGGCCUCUAUAAAUAGGACUAGCCACCCACAUUGCAAGGGGUUCCGAUAGUCGAUAAGUGAGUGUGAGAGAGAGGUGACUGAACUCCUCCUAGCAGUUCAUCACCCCAACCAAGAACAGACCCUCGCGAGGCUGUUCUUCCUUGUAUUGUUCAUCAUCUCCAGCCCCAAGAGGCAAUCCACCAACCACACACUGGAGUAGGGUAUUACACCACAACGGUGGCCCAAACCAGUAUAAAUCUUGUGUCUCUUGUGCAGUUCUUUUAGUAGUUUAGAUCCUUGUGAGACAGAGAGGUAGAAGGCGUGAUCUCCGCGUGCACCCCAGUGUUCGAACCUUAAGGUCUGCCGGAACCCACGAAUCCGACAGGGACUUUCCUUGGCGUGGAAGGCAAGCUUGGCGAUACGGAUGUUCAGAUCUGCUACCAUUGUAACCGACUCUGUGUAACCCUAACCCUCUCCGGUGUCUAUAUAAACCGGAGGGUUUUAGUCCGUAGGACAAUUCCAAUAUACAACAAUCAUACCAUAGGCUAGCUUCUAGGGUUUAGCCUCUUUGAUAUCGUGGUAGAUCUACUCUUGUACUACCCAUAUCAUCAAUAUUAAUCAAGUAGGACGUAGGGUUUUACCUCCAUCAAGAGGGCCCGAACCUGGGUAAAACAUUGUGUCCCUUGUCUCCUGUUACCAUCCGCCUAGACGCACAGUUCGGGACCCCCUACCCGAGAUCUGCCGGUUUUGACACCGACAUUGGUGCUUUCAUUGAGAGUUCCUCUGUGUCGUCGCUUUUAGGCCCGAUGGCUCCUUUGAUCAUAAAAAACGAUGUGGUCCAGGGUGAGACUUUUCUCCCCGGACAGAUCUUCGUCUUCGGCGGCUUCGCACUGCGGGCCAAUUCGCUUGGCCACCUAGAGCAGA
rnacentral:lncRNA from 1 species